GACUGCAGAAACAUUCAUACAAUUCUUAUCUUUUUCCGUUCUUUCAUUUUUUUGGUAAUUUUACUGGACUCUGUACAUUUUUUACGUAAGAUACACAUAAACAAGAACAUUUUGUAAAUUUUUUAAAGGUUAUUGUGGAAGUUUCAUUUUUACCCAUCAAAAGAUGGCAUAAUUAUAUGAUGCAUAUGCUCUCCUGAUGAUUUCCGUAAUUGGUUGCCAAUUCUGGUUUAGUGGUUUCCUGCCCAACCAUGCAUACGUAUCUGGCACAUACGUUGCUCCAUUGAAAUUCCUGUGGUGGAACUGAUGAUGACUUGUUUCGAUUAGAUCAAAAUUGCGUAUUGAGGUUGAGGUUGGAAAAUAAUGGAAAAAGAUUGCUGCAAAUUCAGCAUGCUCUAAAUUUUUAAAUCAGCUUUUCUUUGACCGGUGCCAUGCCAAUAAGUCAAAACACCUUUAUAUUAUUCAAAGCAAUAAACCAUUCUUUCC